rfam:Triticum aestivum genome assembly, contig: Triticum_aestivum_CS42_TGACv1_scaffold_594613_7BS
CUUGUACUCCCUCCGUCCAAAAAUACUUGUCAUUGAAAUGGAUGUAUCUAGAUGUAUUUUAGUUCUAGACACAUCCAUUUUGAUGACAAGUAAUUCCGGACGGAGGGAGUACUUU